UCCCUGGUGGUCCAGUGGUUAAGACUCUGCACUUCCAAUGCAGGGAGUGCAGGUUUGAUCCCUGGUCAGGGAA